UUGCCCAUAGAGUGGCCUGCGUUGAGCUGAAAUGACUAAGCAUUUACUCCUCUCCCUUAUGCAGUUCCCAGAUAGGGGCUGUGCGAAGAGCAAGCCCCAGGCAAAGCAACUACUUGCAAUUGAGGCAGAUGCUGAAAGAGGUGAACAGGUGGAAGCUGCCUGCUGACUGCAUUGUUUGUGACUCAUCAGUCAAUCCUAGGGCAGGAUUUAAAAAAGAAAAAAAAAGCCUGAAAACAAAUUAUCUGAAAGUGGGAUUAAUAUCACACUACAUUGGGGUAGGAGCUUCAACUACUUUUCUCCAUUGCAGUUACAAGGGCAAAAAUGGCCACCUCCCUCCAUUUAUGUAAGUUGAAGAAGAAACUCAGAGUGGGUUUUCCUUCUGGCUACCACAUGCCUUUGGCAUAAUACCUUGACACAGAAAAACAGUGAUGAACUACACACGUAGGAUCAGCCAUUAGGCCUUCCUACAGAACCAAAGGAGAUGAUCAUAGAAACUUUAUGGAUCCCAAGAAUAUGCCUGGGAAGUUGGAGGCUUUUGAAAAAACACCCAUUGGCAAUGUUUAUAGCGGUGCUAUUGACAAUGGCCAAAGUAUGGAAAGAGCCCAGAUGUCUAUCGACACAUGAAUGGAUAAAGAAGAUGUGGUGACUAAUGGCUCCAUAGUACCACAGAAUAAAACUUAAAUUCCUUGGCAUGACCCACAAGGUUCUUCAUAAUCUGGCCUCAACUAUUUCCUAACCACACCUUCCGACAUUCUUCCCUUGUAUCACAAACCCCAGCCACAAUGAACUUCUUGCAUAUGGCCUCAGACACAUCAUGCUUUUCAUGCCUCUGCUUUCCUCAUAAUGAGGUCCAAAGAUCAUCAGCACUACAAUCAGUUGGGGGUAUUUUUAGAAAUGUUGACUCCGAGGUUCUACUGAAAUCUAAUUCCUGAGCAUUUAGACAAGGAAUCUACAUUUUAACAAAUUCUCCAGGCAAUUUAUUUUUCACGUACAUUAAUAUUUGCAAGCCACAUCUCAAUCCUUAUGGUGACACCUCUGUCCUUUCCAUCUGCCCCUUCCACGGAUCAAAUAUCAUCUCCUUAAGAAAAAUCUUUUUAACCUUCUCUUUCCUCAAAUAAAAUGGACCCUUUGCCCCUUCCGUGCCUCCGCUUUACCCUAGUUAUACUUGUACCCGGCAUUUUCUGGUACUUAUGGCUUUUAUUUUUGUGACCUAUACUUUGAUUUCCUUGAGCAUCUUAAUUCAGUUGCCAACAAACUUUUAUUGAACGCUGGUGGUCCACCAAGGGAGGAAAUGGCAUGAAGACUCCCGGAGUUUGGAGUCUGAUGGUGGAUAGAAAAAUACAAUCACAGUGAAGUGUGCAAAGUGCUAAGAAAAGCAGAAGGUAGGGUGUGUGGAAGCUACAGAGACACGUAGACUGGGGAAGCAGGCCAGGGAAGCUUCUCUGGGAACCAAUGUCUAAGUAUCAACUUGGAAAGGAAUAUUUACCCAAGGGAAGGAGGAGAGAGUAUGCCUGCUAAAGAAAGAUGCACCAUAGCAUGUGUGUGCGUGCGUGCGUGUGUGUGUGUGUCUGUGUGUAAAUGAGAGAGAACAACUCAACAUGUCCUCCGUAAUAACCAGAUGUAUCUAUAUCUGUGUGUUUUUUCCCUCAACCUUUCUCCUUCAUAAAUGAAGCCACAUUAAACAUAUUUACCAGCUUUGCAGAAAAUAGAUCCUUCCUAGACCUUGUCAGAUGGACCCUGGAGCCUCAAACCCAGCAGCUUGUGUCUUAAUAUUUCUCUCUUUCUCCUUACCCCACACCCUCCAUUUGUGUGUGUGUGUCUGUGUGUGUAUGAGUGACUGAGUGAUGAAUGAAUAAAUCCAUAUAUAAACAGUUAAUUAAAGUAUUAUGAUGUAGAUGAUGUAGACGAACAUAGAACAGUAUAAGAGAGCGAUUUUUAGGAUUAAACUUUCCUGGGUUCAAAUUCCAGCUUUGUCAGUUUGGGCUAAAACUUAAGGCAGGUUUAUAUAAUCUGCCUGAAUCUCUUCAUUUAUAUAAUGUAUGUAAUAAUAUUUAUCCCAUAAGAAUAUUAUCAUGAUUAUAUAACAAAUAGAAAAUGCUUAACAUGAUGGCUGAUAUACCGCAGGCAUUUUUAAAGGGGUGGUAGUUACUAAGGACUUGACCUCCAAAUCUCAGCUACGCCUGUUACUAAACCUGUGGGGCCAUGGGUAAGAGAGUGAUUUAGUCUACCUUGCUUUUCCCUAAAAACUUCUUUCCAUCCGGCGCGUGAAGAUACACAAGACCCACACCUCAGUGCCUGGCACUCAGAAGGCACUGAAUAAAUGAUUGACAGCCACUGUAAUUAUUAUUACCACUUUCCAUUACAAAAAUAUUUUUGUUUGGCACUUAUGCCAUAUAAAUAUGUUGUCUACGUUUGAAACAUUAGCAUUCUGAAAGAAAUUAGAUAAUUUUUUAGCUGUAAAAAAACCUUUAUUCUAGAAUACUAGAAUAUUCUAGUUCUAGGAUGGUUUCCAAAACCACAGCCAGUUACACGUGACUACCACAAGGUGGCUCCAGAUCAUUUCUGUUAUGUACCAAGUAUUAAUUCACCUGUCUGAAAGAGUUGUUUUUCAAGAAAUACUGUGAGAACAACUGUGUUUUUGUUUGUUUUACCAAGAAAUAUGGCAUUAUAAAACAAACUCUCUUUCAUUAUUUUCUGUUUUUCUUCCCAUGUCCUCGUUAAAGGUAGAUACAUUUUCAAUUUAAGAAUAGUUGUUCAGACCCGGCCCUACAUAUAAUUUAAUCAUUGUUGAUGCUUACUUAAUCGAAUCAUCUUGCUAUAUUGAUAUUACUGUCUGAAAUUAAAUUUUUGGUCCUUGGUCAUUUAAGCUUGUAUGCUAUUUUUUAUGAAUAAUACCAAAAAUGUAGUUAAUUAUUAGGGAAUAUUAGUACAAAUAACUUUUUUUAAGUUUUCACUUAGAAGAUUGAUUUCAGGACACCCCAAUUUUUGAGCUUUGCUUUUCAAAAUAAAUAAAAUG